GGUAGGGUGGCUGAGGGUUAAGCGGUGGAUUGUAGUCCCAUGAACAGAGGUUUGAGUCCUCUCCUUACCA
rnacentral:tRNA from 1 species